rnacentral:rRNA from 1 species
AUUGAACGCUGGCGGCAGGCCUAACACAUGCAAGUCGAGCGAGCGGCGGACGGGUGAGUAAUGUAUGGGGAUCUGCCCGAUAGAGGGGGAUAACUACUGGAAACGGUGGCUAAUACCGCAUACUAUCGGCUGAUCCAAUAUGGGUUUAGCUAGUGGGUGGGGUAAAGGCUCACCUGGGCGACGAUCCCUAGCUGGUCUGAGAGGAUGAACAGCCACACUGGGACUGAGACACGGCCCAGCCUCCGACGGGAGGCAGCGGUGGGGAAUAUUGGAAAAGGGGCGAAAGCCUGAUGCAGCCAUGCCGCGUGUAUGAAGAAGGGCUUAGGGUGGUAAAGUACUUUCAGCGGGGAGGCGGUACCCGCAGAAGAAGCACCGGCUAACUCCGUGCCAGCAGCCGCGGUAAUAC